rnacentral:lncRNA from 10 species
AAUCACAAUGAUAUAUGAAGAUAAACCAUUUAAAAAUUACAAGAGAUACUAACAAAAUAGGUAUAGAUGGUGAGUAAAGGACAAAAAUAACUAGCAUUGUUACUGUAGCAUCAUCAUUAAAAGCUUUGUCUUUGCAACCAGACAACAUGGAUUCAAAUCUCGAUUCUGCCUCUUACUGAAAUGUGACAAGAUGAGUCUUUUAAAGCAGAAUAUGCUGAGAUCUGAGAUUUGAUGGAUGGUGAUGUUGGAAAUCUUUUUAUGUGCCUAUUUAUCUCAGUAUAACUGCUUCAGUGAAAUGUCUCUUCAUAGUUCUACCCAUU